UAUAUUUGGCAAUACCGUUGUCAAAUUGUGAAGCAGAACGUUAAUUUUCAUAGAUGGCUCUAAUUAAAAAUCGACUAAGAUCUAGACCACAGAUUGAAGAUAGGUGAACGCAUUAACAAUUAUGUCAAUUGAAAAUGACAUGCGCAAAAAAUUCUCAUUUGAUGACGUUUUAGAUACUUUUGCAUCAAGUAAAUCAAAAAAAUUAUAUUUUUUAAUAUAUUAACUAUGUAAUGUAAAUUUACUUUUUGAGGGAAAAUAUUUUUCUUAUUUAACUAAUAAAUAUCAAUUGACAUAUUAUUAUAAAAAUACUUUUUUUGUACAAUUAGGGACCCCAAAAAUACAUUAGCUGAGGGCCACUAAUUUCAUGAAUCCGGCUCUGUACUUACUUAUAAUCAUUAGUUAAUCGUAGAACUACAG